AGUUCCGGACAUGAGCUUACUG
rnacentral:miRNA from 1 species